GGCGCCUACGGGGCGCAGCAGUAGGGAAUCUUCCACAAUGGACGAAAGUCUGAUGGAGCAACGCCGCGUGAGUGAAGAAGGGUUUCGGCUCGUAAAGCUCUGUUGGUAGUGAAGAAAGAUAGAGGUAGUAACUGGCCUUUAUUUGACGGUAAUUACUUAGAAAGUCACGGCUAACUACGUGCCAGCAGCCGCGGUAAUACGUAGGUGGCAAGCGUUGUCCGGAUUUAUUGGGCGUAAAGCGAGUGCAGGCGGUUUCAUAAGUCUGAUGUGAAAACCUUCUGCUCAACCCGAGGAGU
rnacentral:rRNA from 1 species